UUAAAAAGCUCGUAGUUGAAUUUUAGCUCUGGCUGGGGCGGUCCUGCCUGUUUGGUGGGUAUUGCUUCGGCUGGGGUUCACCUUCUGGUGAGCUGGCAUGUCCUUUACUGGAUGUGUCGGGGAACCAGGACUUUUACUUUGAAAAAAUUAGAGUGUUUAAAGCAGGCAUUUGCUUGAAUACAUUAGCAUGGAAUAAUAGAAUAGGACUUUGGUUCUAUUUUGUUGGUUUCUAGGACCGAGGUAAUGAUUAAUAGGGAUAGUUGGGGG
rnacentral:rRNA from 1 species